UUCGAAAGACGCAAAGAACAAGAGAGACGCAAGCAGAGGGAGAGGCAGACUUUUUUGUGUUGAGGAAGAAGAGAAAGUAGACAGCUUUGUGGGAUGGAAUCAGAGCAAGGACGACCAUGUACGACCAUGCGCAACGUGCAAGCUCAGCUUUAGCAAUAGCUAUUGGAGAAACCGACUAGGGAGAGGCCCUGAAAUGAGGUAGAACUGAGGAACGAUGAGGCUAUAAAGGAGAUUUGAGAGAAACGAGAUGGAGCACGAAGAGGAGUUUCAGGAAAGAGAAAGCCGAAAAGAGCCUUCGGGAGAGGGAGAGGAGCGGCAAAGACGGGAGAUUAAGGAGCAAGUAAGAAGUUUGUUUAAAUGAAAUGAAUUGUGGCUAUAUUUGUUAUAAUGGUAAAAUUGAAUAAUCUUUAUGAUGUAUAGGAACUUGGCUAUGUACUGCGUACAUGCUAAAUUUGAAAGUGAUAUUCGUUCUUGAGAUCAUUCGAGCAAAAAAACUCACAUCCAUAUUAUAUGACUGUAUAGUAGUUAAUUUAUUCAAACCUGGUUUCACAAUAUGCAUCUCCUUGUCUGGAUCAGAGGCCUGAAUUUUGCUAAUCAUGCCACGGGAUUUUGCUAGACUAUCAACUGCUCCAUUUUAUGUGUUGAAUUGUUUGCCCAGUUAUUGAGGAUCAAGAGAAUAGAAAAGUUGAUGAAUGUAUAUGAGGAAAUUGUGAUAGAUGAAUUGGGAAUGUAUAUGCCCUAUGAAACCUUGAGCAAACAGAAUGAAAUGUAGGCACUAAUUAGAGAAAUGUUUAUGUUAAGGUUUAUCAACGGUGCAAUGUACCAGAGAAGGAAGAAGACAGAUUGCUGUCUCUUUUGAUAUAUUAGGCAUGAAGAAUUUAAUGAAAGUGUUGAGUAGUUUCUUACUCAAGAGACCAUGGAGUUUUCUCUUAAUGAGCCCUUUAAUUAGAUUCAAGAUACUAGAAAGAAAAAGAACUCCAUUUUCUACUGCUUUCAAUCAACCCAUAAUUAGAUUCAUCAGUCGCGACCCUAAUAGUUUAUGUACCGAUUCAUGAUGUAAUUGAUCUGGAUUUCCCAUAAAUGUCUGAAAAGAAAAUCAAUGGCUUGAUUUUCUUUUAUAUAUCAUGCACCUGUGCCCUUUUUUAUGUGUUGGGCUGUUGGGAACUGUGUUUUAUGUGAACAAGAGAUUUAGACAUGUCCUAGGGAAGAAUGAGAAGACUGCUAAUUUAUUUUUGUUUUGUUCUCUGUUUCCAUUUAUGUAUGUAACUUCAACAUUCCUAAAUAUGGUUUGUAAAAAGAUUUAAGAUUUACUUAAUAUAUUUCAUGACAGAUAUUAUACUCACAUUUGCACAGUAGUUAAGACAUAAGCAAAAUCCAGAUUAUGCCUUAAUUAACUAGUCUAGAUCACAAGGUGAGUGCUUUAUCUUUUGUUACCUUUUACUACUUUAAACCUAAAUUUUUAUAUUACUAAUCGCUGCAUAUGUGGUGAUUGAUCCCACACUUGAUAAGAUUACUUCUGACUCAUUAUUUUGUGAACUUAAAUAUUUAGAUUAGAUUUCAUGGAGAAUCACUAGUCCACUGUGACAAUUUCAAGUUUUAAAGUUAAGAUAUAUGAAGAAAACCUUUGGUUAUCCUUUCAAGUAAUUAGAAAUCUGUUAAAACAAGAACCUGAGAUUUGUUAUCUUCUUUUCUUUUCUCCUCUUUUAGUCCUUAGUGUUGUUUUCCUCUACUAACAUCUUGGAUAAUCACGAUACCAAAGCACUGAUGUAGAAGAAAAGUAAAANNNNNNNNNNNNNNNNNNNNNNNNNNNNNNNNNNNNNNNNNNNNNNNNNNNNNNNNNNNNNNNNNNNNNNNNNNNNNNNNNNNNNNNNNNNNNNNNNNNNNNNNNNNNNNNNNNNNNNNNNNNNNNNNNNNNNNNNNNNNNNNNNNNNNNNNNNNNNNNNNNNNNNNNNNNNNNNNNNNNNNNNNNNNNNNNNNNNNNNNNNNNNNNNNNNNNNNNNNNNNNNNGAGUUUUCUAAUUUGUUGGAUUGUAUAUUCAUUUCUUUGGUAGAUGAGAAGCCCUAAGUUGGGUGAAGACAUUGAAGUUCAAAGAAUGAAGAGGCUGGACAGCUUAGAGCUAGGCAAACUUUUAAGGAUAAUACAGAAACACUGGUGGUUCAGUAUGAACUUCAAGUUAGACCUCAAAGAUUUGCAUUGCCAAAUAUAAUAAGAAUUUGGAGAAUAACUGAAAAAAUGCAAGUAAAACUUGUUUUCAAAAUGUUAAUUUUCACUCAACAUAAAUAUAGCUUUUAGUAUUGAAUUUAAUGUCUUUUCCUUUAGGAGAGGACGUUGGAAUGGGAUAAGGGCCCCCCUUAAAAACGUGAAGCUGAAGGUAGGUUGCAAGAGCUCAAAUGUGAGGAGGGCAAACCAUUUGCUCAUACUAAGUAUAAUAGUUUAAUUUACUGAAAGGUGAUGGUCAUAUGAUUUUUCUUUAAAUAAAAAUGAAAGUUUUUCUUAAGAAAAUUAGAAGGAUCUUAUUUAUUUCAAAAGUUUAAAAUCUUUUCUUUUAAAAUGAAAAAUAGUUAACCUUUGGUCUUCCAGGAAAUUGCGUUUCCUAGUAUCUACUAAUUAUUUGUGCUUGUCUUCCAAUCAUGGCAUGUUAUUGUUUUAACCUAUGUUUCAGGGAUGAUCCCCAGCUGCACAAAAUGCUGAAGGAGAGAGUUAGCUGAGGUGAUCCCAUGGCGUUUUUGGUCAAGGUAAUUGAUUUACUUGAUCACUACUUCAUAAAUUGGAAAAACUUAAGAGUGGAUUCCCAGUUGUAGCUAGAUCGAAAGAGGUUUAGUGCUGCUCCAAAUCGUUAUAAGAUUAGGGAGGCACCAAGAUGGGGUGAUCCCAUGGGAUAUUUGGUCAAGUUAAUUGAUUUACUUGAUUACUACUUCCAAUUUGAAAAACUUAAGGGUGGAUGCUCAGUUAUAGAUGGAUCAAAAGAGGCUUAGAUACUGCUCGAAACCGAAAUGAGAUAAAAUCAGGGAGGUACUGGGAUGGGGUUGACCUUAGUAAUGGUCUGUUCCCUUAUAUUCUACUCCUGUUAGAUGUUUCCUGUUUACACUUUUCAUGAGUUGUGAAGCACUUAUCUUAUGGCUCUCACCAUUUUCCACACACUAUAGUUGGGAGAAAUCAUUAGCUGUAGGAAGACUAUUUCCCUCCCAACAAAAAGAAAGUAAAGACAUCGAGAACGAUUCUUUAUAUGUAAUUAUCAUUGAAAUGAUUAUUUUCUUUUUCUGCCUUAGAUAGGUUUGUUAAUUCUGCGAUCGAAAAAUAAAGAAAAUAUUUAAAAGAAAUUUUAGCAAACACUUGUUGAGAUAGAAAAGUUAGAAACUUUCAUAUAUUAUUUCAACGAGCUGCACACUUUUUUAAACAAAACUUGUAGCAGAAAAAUUCAAAAUAUCAGCCUAUAAAAUAGGAACAUUCAAUAAGAUAAGAGCUAAUUAACUUAUUGCUAAAAAUUAGGAUUACACAACAGUUAAAUUAGAGAAUCCUAGUCAAAAAUAAAUUCUAAUUAGUCAAUAAUCUCUCCUUUAAACUGAAAGUUUGCAAACUAUCAGUUUAAAAAUGAUUCAUAGUGCAAACUCCUAGCAACUCUCUUAACUUCUCAAAUGCAGACAGCUUCAAAGGCUUGGUCAGAAUGUCAGCCACUUGAUCUUCACUCUUGCAAUAGCUGAGAUCAAUUACUCCUUGUUUUGUAAGAUUCCUUAGGAAGUGAAAUUUCACAUUUAUAUGUUUACUUCUUCUAUGUAGAACAGGAUUCUUAGAUAAUUUAAUUGUUGAUCCAUUAUCACAGUAGAUAGAAGUAGGUCCUUCUUGCUUGAAGUGAAACUCAUCAAGAAUCUUUCUUAACCAGACUGCUUGACAAGCACAGGCUGCAGCAACUACAUAUUCAGUUUCAGUUGUUGAUAAUGUCACUAUUGAUUGCUUUUUGGAAGACCAUGAAACUGCUGUUGUUCCCAUCAAGAAAACAUAACCAAAUAUACUUUUUCUAUCAUCGAAAUCUCCAACAUAAUCACUAUCUGUGAAACCAAAUAGAUUUGAUUUUUCAUCAUUCCUAUAGAGCAUUUUAUAUUUGGAAAUCCCUUGCAAGUAUUGGAGAAUUCUUUUUGCGGCAAGAUGUACUUCCUUAGGACUUUCCAUGUAUCUGCUGAUUUUGCUCACAACAUACAUAAUAUCUGUCCUUGUGGCGGUUAAAUACAUCAAGCUUCCCACAAUUUACUUGUAAAUAGUGCUGUCUACCGUCUUUCCUUCAGGAUUUUUAACAAGCUUUAUUCAUGUAUCCAUUGGAGUACUAGCAGGAUUGUAAUUCUUCAUCUGCAACAUGUUCAAGACUUCCUGCACCAACAUGUUCAAGACUUCCUGCACAUACUUUUCUUGAGAAAUGAAUAUGCCACCAGCAGAUUGAGUCACUUCUAUACUAAGAAAAUAUUGCAUCAAUCCAAGAUCGCUCAUAUCAAAUUCGGUCAUCAUAGACUUCUUAAACUUUUCAAACAUGAUUGUAUCAUUACCGGUAUAAAUUAAAUCAUCUACGUAAAUACAAACCAUAAUCAUCCUCCGAUCAUCUUCCAAUUUUAUAAAAAUUGUGUGUUCAUAUGGACAUUUUUUAAAACCUUCCUUUAAAAAAUAAGUUUCAGUUCGACCAUACCAGGCUCGUAGAGCUUGUUUUAAACCAUACAAGACCUUCUUUAGUCUAUACACUUUAUGUUCAUUUUCAAUUUUAAUAUAACCUGGAGGUUGUUCAAUAAAUACUUGCUCCUUUAGAUCUCCGCAUAGGAAAGCCGAUUUCACAUCUACUUGGAAAAUAGGCUAUGAAUUUUGAGCUGCCAAUUCUAAUUGUGUCAUGCCUUGCUACCAGUGCAAAAACUUCAGUAUAAUCAAUCCCGAACUCUUGCUUGGAGCCUUUAGCAACCAAACGUACUUUGAAUUUAUCAACUUCUCCUUUUUUAUUCAACUUAGUUUUGUAGACUCACUUCACUCCAAUGGAUUUUUGGCAUUUUGGAAGUUCAAUCAACUCCAAGUACUAUUUCUUUCAAUGACAGCUAUCUCAUCAUCCAUUGCCUUCUUCCAUUUUAAGUCUUUUAUGACUUUUUCAAAAGACAUAGGAUCACAAUAUGAUAAAAAGGCAAAAUAGGUUAGUAGUUUUUCAAUUCCAAUUACCUCAUAAUCGGUCAUACAUGUUGGCCUUCUCUUAACUCUUUGAGGUCAAUGUUCACCAUUGCUGGGAGGAGUUUGAGUAACCAAUGGUUGUUCCUCAUUGGUCAUGUGAUGAUCAUUUACCAAAGGUUGCUGUCUUUCUUCGUUUUCAGCAUCAAAAUCAACUGGAAUUUGUUGUUGAAUAAUUUUUUCAUCCUAUUUCCAGAGGUUUGCUUUAUCAAAAAUCACAUCACGGUUAAUGACAAUUUUCUUGAUGAUAGAAUUAUACAACUUGUAGGCCUCAGAAUGAUCACUAACACCAAGAAAAAUGUAUUUUUCUCCUUUGUCAUCUAACUUCUUUUUUUUUUCAUCUGGAACAUGAGCAUAAACAAUGCAUCCAAAAACUUUAAAGUGUUCUAUAGAUGGGUUAUGUUCAUUCCAAGCUUCUUCCAGAGUCAUGUUUUGAACAGCAAGCGUGGGAGAUAUGUUCAAAACAUGGAUACUCCAAUUAACUGCUUCAGGACAAAUGUUUUUAAAAAUGCCACUCUUUUUUUAAAAGAUUUCGAACCAUAUUCAAACUGGUGUGAUUUUUUCUCUCGCAAACACCAUUUUGCUCAGGUGUGUAUGCUGCUGUAAGUUGCCUUUUUAAUUCCANNNNNNNNNNNNNNNNNNNNNNNNNNNNNNNNNNNNNNNNNNNNNNNNNNNNNNNNNNNNNNNNNNNNNNNNNNNNNNNNNNNNNNNNNNNNNNNNNNNNNNNNNNNNNNNNNNNNNNNNNNNNNNNNNNNNNNNNNNNNNNNNNNNNNNNNNNNNNNNNNNNNNNNNNNNNNNNNNNNNNNNNNNNNNNNNNNNNNNNNNNNNNNNNNNNNNNNNNNNNNNNNNNNNNNNNNNNNNNNNNNNNNNNNNNNNNNNNNNNNNNNNNNNNNNNNNNNNNNNNNNNNNNNNNNNNNNNNNNNNNNNNNNNNNAAACAUGAAGGAAGUGGUAUUUGGAAGAUAAAGUAGAAACAUCCCGAUUUGUUGUCAUUUCUGACUUGAGCAAUCAAGCCCAAAUUUUCAUCUCGAACACUGCAAACUCCAGCCUUAAUUAGAAUCUCAUAUCCCUUCUCUUGGAGUUGACCAAUACUUAGUAGAUUAGUCUUUAGUUUUGGAACAAAGAAAAUAUUUGAAAUUGUUUGAUUAGUGUUUUCUUUGGUAUAGAUUUUCACAUUGCCCUUACCCAUCACGUAAACUUUGGAAUUAUUACCAAAUAUCACAGUAUUAUGAAAUGAUUCAUCUAAAUCUGAAAAUGCCAACUUCCGCACAUGUGAUUACUGCAACCAGUAUCUAAAUACCACAAGUGUUGAUGUCUUUCAUCUUUUGCAUGACAUGCCAGCAAAAGAGAGACUUCUUCUUCUUCUUUCUCCGCAAAAUUGGAUCUUUCUCUGUGUUGCUUGUUCAAAUUAGCUCAGCAUUCAGAUUUGUAGUGACCGUACUCGUGACAUCGAUAGCAUUCGAUUCUUGACUUGUCUGCUGACUUGCGAUUUAAUGAGUUGUGGACAUCACAGUUUCUUCCUUUCCAUUGUGAUUGGUUGCUUCCAAAUUUUUUGUGGAAGUGUUUGAUUUAUUUGUUUGUUGUUCCUGGAUCUCCAUUGUUUGAUGAAAAGGUUGUUCGUUGUUGCCUGUAGUGCUUGCUCCUCUGUUUUAGCUUUGAUUAGUUUCGUUUUAUGGACUCUCAAAGAAUUCUGCAAUUCAUCAAUUGUAAUUACAUCAAGAUCUUUAGAUUCUUAAAUUGAAUAGACAAUAUAAUUAAAAUUUGCUAUUAAAGAUCACAUAAUCUUUUCAACAAUCAUCACGCUCUCCAUCUUAUCUCCAUUUAUAUGUCUUUGGUUCACGAUUGCCAUCGUUCUAGAGAAGAAGUCAUCUACUGAUUCUCCAGUCUUCAUAUGUAACGUUUCAAAUUCUGCACAAAGUGCUUGGAGUUGCACUCUCUUUGCCUUUACAUUCCCUUGAUAUUUUUUCUUCAUUGAGUCUCAGAUUUUUUGGACAUAUCUUUACAACGAAUUGUCUCCAAGGUAGAUCGAUCAAUUGCUUAGAAGAGAUAGUUCUUUGCUUUGAAAUCCUUCAACUUUAAUGCUUCAUAUUCUUCUUUUUGCUGCUGCGUCAACGUAGUUCAAACCGCUGGUUCUGCUACUUCAGAUUCAACAACGUUCCAGUACUUCUUGGACCUCAAAAAAUUUUCCAUCAGCAUGCUCCAGUGAUCACAGCGACCAUCAAAGUGUGGAAUAGCUGGCUGUACAAAUGUUGCUUCAAUUGCCAUCAACUCUGCUUGUCUCCUUCACCAACUUACUGCAAUUUUCUCUUCCUCACCUGUUGUAAAGAUGCUUUAAAGAGAUUCUAAUACCAACUGUUAAUUCUGAGACUGAAAAAUUAAAAAAAAAUUUAACAAAUACUUGUUGAGAUAGAAAAAUUAAAAACUUUAAUAUAUUAAUUUAACAAGCUGCACACCUUUUUAAAUAAAAUUUGUAGCAUAAAAGCUCAAGAUAUCAGCUUAUAAAAUAGACACAGCCAACAAGAUAAGAAUUAAUUAACUUAUUCCUAAAGAGUAGGAUUACACAACAACUAAAUUAAAGAAUCUUAAUCAAAAAAUAAAUUCUAACUAGUUAACAAGAUUUUGAGAAGAAGAUGUUCGGAAGGAUGAAUCAGAGAAGUAAGUUUGUGAUAAGUAAGUUUGUGUUGUAGACCUGUGAUAACAUAUAUCAUUUUUAUUUACAGUUGGGCCGUUCCAUGGAUUGUCCGUCUUGUAGAAGAUGUUUCUUGAUCAGUAAUUAAGAAAAAAAUAAUCAACAGGUUUGGAUCUAGUGAUUACUUAAAUUUUCGUUCAUGUUAAAAACUUAAAACUUUUAUUUAUAUUAAUGUUAAAAAAUGACACCUGAUACAUACACAAAAUCUGUUGGAAAUGCAUUUUGCAUCGUGAAGUUAUUGUUUUAAUCCAGAAAUAUUACAUCAAAUUACGAGGUUUGACUGAAAUGGUAUAAUUCAUUGACAUUAAUAAAAACAAGAAAUCCGUUGAUUUCAAGCUUAAAAAAUGAUUAGUGGAUGGGGUAAGGAUGAGUUACAGGAAACUUGCAAAGCAAGAAAUUAAAAUUAUGUGUUCUCUAUUAUUCAUCAUAUGUAAGUAAUAUUUUAAUAAUAACAUUAAAUUAAAAACUAGUAUUGAAAUUUAUUAUUUGUUGGUCUACCCUUUCUUACUUUUUAUUUUAAAGUAUAGCAUAAUAUAUAUAUAUAUAUAUAUAUAUAUAUAUGUGUGUGUGUGUUGUGCUAGACAAAAAUCAAAAUUUAAAUUAUUAACACGAACUUGGGCUUGGGUUUGGUCUUGGGCUUGGGCUUGGUCUUGGGCUUAGUCAAAAUUUAAUUAACUAAGAUACGUUAGUUAUCCCUUCGAUGUAAUUAAAUUUUGAAAUUUAUAUUCAAUUUGAUUGUUUGACUGGCUAGAGGUCUCUGUGUAUACAUGUUAUUUAUUCAUGUUAUUUAUUACCAAUAAUUUUCUCUUAUUUUUAAUUUUUCUUCUUUAAACUUAAGACUCAUUUGUGGCGAUUGGCGGCUCAAAGUUUUUAAGGUUCUUUUUGGUAAUUCCAUAGCUUUUUUAGUGCAAAUUAUCCUUUUUUUUUUUUUUAUCUUAUAAAACGUACUUAUAUAUAUAUAUAUAUAUAUACAUAGAUAGCCAAGAGAUGUUCAACCAACCUUAAAUUGUCUUACAUAUAAUGUUCAAAUAUUUUAUUAUUAAUAUUUAUAUAAAUUUGUAAAGAAAAUUCAAUCUAAAGUUCUCACCUAAUAUAUUAUUAAUUCAAGUAUCAACAAUAAUUGUUGAUACUUGAAUUAAUAAUAUAUUAUCUGGAUCUAUUUUUUUAAGUUUGUUAUCUCAGAAACAAAACAAGAUGUAUACAAAUUGUUCCAUCCUAAAAGUCAAGUUAUUCGACGCAUGUUAAGCGACUUGACGAGUCAUGGUUCAUGUGAUAAAAAAAGCAAAUUGAAUUAAUUAAUUACGAUAAAUAUAUGAUGUGUGUGUAUAUAUAUAUAUAUAUAUAUAAAUGCAAAUAAUAUUAAACUUAUAUUGUAACACUUUUAAUUAAUUUUAAAAUGUUUAAAAUUAGUGUAUAAAUACAAAUUUUGAAUUUUUAAAUUUUUUAUUUAAUGUAUAAAAUUUAAUUUUUAAUUUAAUAAAUUAUUAAUUAAUAUAAAAAUAAAAAUAAAUUAAAUAGAGGAUGAAAUUGAAAAUGAGUUUGAAAAAAAUGGGUGAAAAUUUGGGUUUUUGAGGUAUUUUUGAAAGAAAAUUCAGAAACUGGGGGUCGAAAUACAAUUUAGAAAAAUUAUGUCACGUAGGAUGUCCAGUCAGUAACCUCGACGAACUGGAGCGCGCCGCGUGGUAAGGCACGCUGACGUGGUACCACGCAGAUGAUCUGAGUGCCCGCGAUCAGACAGUCCAGAUUCGUUCCCACGUGCACGGACGGCCAAAAUUAAAUCGCGAUGGACAGUCCAGAUUUACUUCUUAUUUAAUUGCGAUCGGACGAUUCAGAUUAAAAGGAGACGAAUAUAAAUAACUCUCUUCACACCAAACCCUAACCCUAGCUACUAGACACCCCCGCCGGAGAAGAAGAGCCAACUGUCGGAAAGGAAGCCGCCCGCCACCUGCCGUCGCGCCGGAGCCACUUUUGACCGCCAAAAGAGGUAAAAAAAAUUUCUUUGCUCGAAAUUCAAUUUUAAACACCCCCAUGGCCAAAUAUGAGCAAAAGGAUCAACAGAUUGGCCGAAAAUUGUGGGCAAAGCCCGGCGCCACCGCCGUAGAAAAUUACAAAAACCGCCUCUAAUGAGGCCCUUCUUGAUUUUCAUUCUGCGUAAUUCUUCUACCAUUAUAAUCACUGUUUCCUUCUCUACAAAUUGAACAAAGCAAAAUACCCAAUCGCGAAGGUGAGCCGGCGGAGCCGCCACAUCGAAGGAACCUGCCUCUGGUGAGUUUCGAUUUUUCAAUUUUUUUCGGCCAACCGAGACCCCUUAACGUGUUUUCUCAUAGAGAUUGGUACAAAAUCGGUUGAAUUCAGCCAAAAAUAGCUGACCCGAGACAAACCACUACCGCGAACGACGGUGCCGUCAAUGGAGCACGGCAGAGCCGCCGUGCCGGAUUUUCAGAAUUGGCCAAAAAGAUUUCCUAAUGCUGAUUUUGGAUUUUUUGGGAUAUUUUUCGGUACUUAAAGCGUGUUUUAAUCCCUGAAGGAAAAUUUAUGGAACCCGCAAACCCCCAAUAGGCGUAAUCAAAAGUUUUGCAUUUCAGACAUCAAUUUGCGUAAGAAUCUCUCACCUUAUUCUUUGUUAUGGAAUUGAAGUCUAAUUAAUAAUAAUAAUACGGUGAUUUGCAUAGUGUAGAAAAUAUCCAUGAUUAAUUACAGGUUACUAAUGGAGCCAGAAUUGGAAAUUAUUCACUGUUGAUUCUGUUGAUUUAUUUUACAAUUUGAAUGCAUGAUAAUAUCUAAUUAUUGGAUCUUAUAGUUUGAAUGCAUGUAUUGCUUUGCUUCAUAUGAUUAUGGUCGAAUUGAGAAACUGGAAUUUAAAGAAAAUUAGGAAACUAUUUGAUUAAGUGAAUGGACAAAAUAACCGCUUUACUAGAUAUCCUAAAAGAUGGUGGACGAACCGAGUACAUAGAAAAUCCAAUCGUGAACGUUGUCUCAUACCGAACGGGAUAUUAAGGUUUGGUAAUUUGGCGCUCAUACCGGAUGGAGUAUGGAGACGACUCAUUUCACCUUCAUACCGGAUGGGGUAUCGAGGUUUAAUAAUUUGGUGCUCAUAUCGAACGGGGUAUGGUGACGACCCGUUAAUUAGAAAUGUUAAAGGAAAUGGUUCACGCGUUGUAGGGACAUUCCUAUGGACCCCCAUGGAUACUAGUAUGCUGAUAAAAGAGAAAAUUAUUAUUCCAAUCGAUUACAUAUAAAGUUAUGAUCUGUGUUAUUUUAUUGCCUCUAUAGGUUAUUUUUGUAAAUCUCGCUACGGUAAGUAGAUGGUAGAUGAUUUCAUUUAUGAUAAAUGAUUUUGCUUAAUUAAGAGCUCCAUUAGUUAUUUUUAUGAUUUCUACCAACCUUCAUUUAUGUGUCAGUGAGUAGUGUGAUAUUUUUACUGGGUUAAUGUAGCUCAUUCUUUCAUUAACUAUUACAGAUCAAGAGGAUCAAGAUCCAGAGCCCUAUCCACAAGAGGAUUGCGAGUAAGACAUUCAGCUUGUUUACUUUUAAUUUAUUUCCUUAGUUAUUAGUUGUUCUUUUAGAAAGGUUAUUCUCGUAAGUCUUAUUUGGUACUUUUAGUUAUUGUGUAAGGAAUGUAAACCAUAAUUAUUUAUUUCGCUUCCACAUUAAAUUUAUAAUUUAUUUCCUUUGAAUUUCUAGGAUCGUUAUAGUUGGCAUCAGAGUCGCAUUCCUCAUAACCAUUCCUUUCACAAAGUCCUUAGAAAACACAAAGAUAAUAAAUUAUCACUCAACCGUUCCUUAUGAAAUGUAGGUACUGAUAGAUGAAGAGAGGAAGAC
rnacentral:lncRNA from 1 species